rnacentral:misc_RNA from 1 species
AUGAUUGGGAGGAGCUUCAACAAAGCGUUGUAAGUACGAUUAGAUUGACGUUAGCCUCGGAUGUGAAGUAUAAUGUCUUAAAGGAGACUUCGCCAGUUGUUCUGUGGAAAAAAUUAGAGAGUUUGCACAUAUCAAAGUCACUCACAAUUCGUUUGUACUUGAAUGAGUUGUACUAACUCAAAAUAAAUGAAAGUACUGAUGUGAGAGAUCACCUUAAUGUAUUUAAUAAAUUAAUUACCCAAUUGACUAGUGUUGGUGUGAAGGUUGAUUAAGAAGAUAAAGCUCUCUUGCUUUUUAACCUCUCUCCCACACUAUUAUAAAAGCUUGGUGACAGCUCUAACAGUUGGGAAGAAGAAUUUGAAGGUGGAGGAGGUUACCGC